rnacentral:miRNA from 1 species
UUUCUAGAAUCUGCAGGUAGU